rnacentral:ncRNA from 1 species
AAAUGACCAGUGACGGAGAAAAGUAGGUAAACCCCACAUGGCCAGAGAGGAAGUGCCGCAGGCUGAGAGCACUUCUGCAUGAUGAUUUAGUGAAAGACACUCCUGAGGUUUCAAUUCGAACGGAAAAUGAACCAUACCCCAGUAGAGUUGGACGCAUGCAGGCGUUACUUGCAUUUGAGCGGAAGCGUAUGCUUCAACCAGGGUGGCACCGCGGGUAUGUAACUCCCGUCCCUAUU